rnacentral:lncRNA from 1 species
UAUAUAACCAGAUGCUCCGCAGGGCGCAGCUUUAUACGACCGCAGAGGUUGAACCCUAAACGGUAGUGGCAAGUAUGGACACAACAUUCAAGCUGGAUUCAGCUCUAAAUUUGGAUUAUGAUUAAAUAGUUGACACAGCAUAGGUUUCUGACACAGAAUGAAUGUGGUCUAAUAAACUUAAAAUUUGUUUUUUGCCUUUGAGCAAUUUAUUAUGCUGUUGAAUAUUAAUCCUCUCAAAAAAAUGUUUGAAGAAAUUUUC